AAAGAGGGCUUAUUCAGAUUAUUCAUAACAUCACAAGAAUAGUAGAGCUGGUACAAUGCCUUCCAGCUCAUUCGAAGGAGAAUUUUGAAAAAGUAGAGCAUCACGGUAUCACACAGUUGACAGAAUAUAAAAUAUAAACUUAAGUUAGAAGGUGAUUAUUGGUCAUAUAUCAAGUACAUCAAGAUACAUGGAGAAUUCUAAUUGGCAGGGCUGUAUGUGAGGAAAGCAGAUCACAGUCGACAUUUCAGGUAAACUUCAAGACAGGAAACGUCUAUGCUGUAUAAAACAAAAAAAUAUAUACACUGAAACUUUGGUUGCAUGGAAUAGGAUUCACAAUCGGAUAAUCAGACAAAGUCCAGCAUACAUAAUAGAGCAAUGUCAGCAGAUUAACAUAACAUUAACAGGUAAGCAACAUACUUUAAAUUCAUCUUUUUUUUCUCUUACGAAUAGAUUUUAAAAUGUUCAACAUAGAUAUGACUGCCCAACUUAUUCAUCUAACAAAUCAUCCCACGCAAAGGGGAGGUGUCCGAGCCUGCAUGUGGUUGAAUCUCUCUUAGUCGGACAAUUCUAUAAAACACAUUCACAUUGUUUAGUGAUGAUACAUCCUCCAAGAGGCCACAUUUACCCAUCAGCAUGUUGCAUUAUAAGGUCGUUGUCAAAUUUAUCCUUUGGUUGGAGUUGCUCAAAACAUUCAAAUCAGUGUUAGCUGUUUUAAUUCAAUGACUGGUCAAAGUCCCGAAUAGCUGUAGAUAUAGUUAUAAAAAUCGGCCCAGAUACCGAACUGGUAAAGGGUCUGGUCACUGGUUCAGUGUUCCCAGGUUAAUUGAUAAGAUCUGGUUAUAUUAAAAAUAUUUAAUAAAUUUAAAACAUUUAAAAAUAAAUAAUAAAAUAUUAUUAGAAAAAUAUGUAUAAUCAGGGAUAAAUUUUUAUCUUAAAUACUAUCCUUUAAAUUGCAUGGGUCUAUAUUUUUCACUGCUUUUCAAUUGUAAGAAAUACAAAAUAAUCAAGAGAUCCUCUACGUUUUAGAAAAUACUUAUAUAUAACGUAGAAAAAUAUGUAGAACUUACUGAUAUUUUUAGUUUUAAAAAUAUCAAAAAGAAUAUAAUGAAAAAUACUUUUUUUUUUGGGGGGGGGGGACGCCAUUGUAUGAACAAAAGAAUUAAUUUUCUAUGUCACGAACUGUAGAGCUUACUGCAUUUUUUGAAAAAAAAAAAUUGAUAUACUUUUUUUGAUUUUAUAAGAAACAUAUUUAUUUUAAGGGAAGAACUCAUUAUGAAAAAUGGUAAUGUGCAUGAAAGAACUGUUACAUAUAUAUUUGAACUAUUACAGUAUAUCAUAAGUGAAUUUUAUCACGGUGGCUGAGUGGCUUGUGUACUUUUUUUGAUUAGGCAGCGGAUCAAAUCUGGUGCUGACAUCUUUUCUGUUAUAAUUUUGUACUCAAUCGAGCAUGUCUGGACCACCUGGUUCACCAGAUUUUUUUCCAAAAACUGGCAAGGCUGAUGCUUUUCAAUGAGUCCAACCGAAGUUCCAGUACUCAGAAGAAAGCAGAGCAGCCAAGGGUCCCGUUUCACCUGUUUUCAGUCGAACUGGCCAGUCCAGGCUGGUUUUUGUAACUAUGACAAUAGAGAUUAAAGCCCAAUGAAGAAUGCUGUUGUAUUAUUCCAUAACAUUUCUAACCUAUAUGAAGGCAUACAAUUACAUAAUGUUUUCUUUUCAACUUGAUCGUGGUUCUAUUGCAGUUUUAGUUUAGCAAUAAUAGUUCUGAUC
rnacentral:lncRNA from 1 species